UUAGUUAAAGUCAAAAAGAGGCAUUUCAUUGUUAAUGAAAAUAUUGGAUAAACAUCCUAACUAAA
rnacentral:tRNA from 1 species